rnacentral:rRNA from 4 species
GACAGCCAGGAUGUUGGCUUAGAAGCAGCCAUCAUUUAAAGAAAGCGUAAUAGCUCACUGGUCGAGUCGGCCUGCGCGGAAGAUGUAACGGGGCUAAACCAUGCACCGAAGCUGCGGCAGCGACACUCAGGUGUUGUUGGGUAGGGGAGCGUUCUGUAAGCCUGUGAAGGUGGCCUGUGAGGGUUGCUGGAGGUAUCAGAAGUGCGAAUGCUGACAUAAGUAACGAUAAAGCGGGUGAAAAGCCCGCUCGCCGGAAG